GAUGAAGACCGUAGCGAAAUGCGAUACGUAAUGUGAAUUGCAGAAUUCAGUGAAUCAUCGAGUCUUUGAACGCACAUUGCGCCCCCUGGUAUUCCGGGGGGCAUGCCUGUCCGAGCGUCAUUGCUGCCCUCAAGCACGGCUUGUGUGUUGGGCCUCCGUCCUCCUCCCGGGGGACGGGCCCGAAAGGCAGCGGCGGCACCGCGUCCGGUCCUCGAGCGUAUGGGGCUUCGUCACCCGCUCUUGUAGGCCCGGCCGGCGCUUGCCGACACAUCAAUCUUUUUUCCAGGUUGACCUCGGAUCAGGUAGGGAUACCCGCUGAACUUAAGCAUAUCAAUAAGCGGAGGA
rnacentral:misc_RNA from 1 species